rnacentral:lncRNA from 1 species
CCCCCCCCCUCUCCAUCACUUAACCAUCAUCGACACUACCAAAAAAAACCUUCCCGCUGCCAACUCCAUCCUCUCCAACACCUUAAGCCAACAGGAGACAGCAACAACACCACAAAAACAACACCAACGGCCCCUUCUUCAAUCGAACAGACCCAAGAGAACAACCAACUUCCACCGCCACCGCUAAGCGUAUCUCCAGCCUCACCAGUCCGUCGUCGGCGACUCUCAACCAGUCGACCAACCAGGCCCGUUACCUCUCAACAACCUUCAUCAACCAGUAACUCCACCAAAACUUGCCGGAAUCCGGCAAUAACCUUCGCACUAACAAAAGAGUUCUUCAUUUGUUUCCAUUUUUCGAUUUUCAGAUUUUUUAGUUUUCUUUUAAAUUCAAGAAAAAUUCUGAAAAAAAUACAAAUAUUAAAAGUUGCUGAUUCUUCAUUCUUCAUUCUCGGAUUCUUGUUACUAAAUCAUGGGGUUCGUUUGAGUUCAGGUCGUGUGUGGAUUGCUCGUGGGCUUUGAGUUCGCGGUUUCGGGUUUGAAUUGCUGCUUUAUCUCGAUUGGAUUUUGGAUUUGAAGCCUUGUAUCUAUUUGGCUGCUCAAAUAUUCAAUCUACGCACUUGAGGUCCCAUCUCCUACCUCAUUCGCCCAUUUUUUGUUGAUAAUAUUAGAUGUCUGCCUCCUUGCUUCUCUAUUUUUUAGCUUGAGUAUUUCUCAUUUAAUAUGAUAAAUGUGCUUAAUUCCUUGUCUUCUGGUUAUUAGCGUGCAUCAAAGUAGUAACGUUAGUUAUUAAGAUUGGUUAGAAAACUGUUUGUCUAAAUUGAAUGUGAAGAAGAUGUGUAGUUGAUGUUGAACUCAUACAAAUUAGGUAAAGAAAUAAAAUGGGCCGUGGGAAAUAGGUAAGACCAGUGCUUAAAAAUGAAAUCAUGUUUAGAUGUUGGAGGGUCUAAGUUUGGUUAUGUGGGUGAUUCAAAAGAAAGUGGAUUGGUAAUGAAUUUUUCUUUUAUUUAGUUUCUUUUAUUCACUUUAUUUUGUCUUAAUGUGCGCUAGUAGCAUGUUUAGACCGUUAUCACUCGGGUAGGCAAGUUUUAGAAUUGUUUGUUAGCUUUUGAGGUGAGAGGUUGUCCCCUUAGUUAAAUUUAUCUGGGGAAUGCUCCCAAGGAUUUGUAUAUAUUUUAUUUUAGGGGUAUGCCCCGAAGUAAAUGUAAUUGGAGGCCAUUGCGAACAUCGUAGAAGAAGUAGCGUAGGAUAAUUUAGAAUUUUAAUUUUUAUUCUUUUAAUUUUCUUUCAUUUAGAUGGGGAUGACCUCGAGCCUCUUUUGAUUGUUUAUUUUCUUGUUGUGUGUUAUUACCUCAAUUCGAAUAUUUUAAAAGCCGACUAGAUCAAGUAUGCAACCAUACUAGUUAUGGGACUUGGGGAGUGCCUAACACUUUCUCCCUGAGUCAAAUGAGCCCCCUUACCCGAAUCUCUGGUGCUGACUUAGUUUUUGAGUCCAAAGUGUUUUGAAAUGGAAAAAUCAUUUCUAAAAAAACGAUGGCCUGACACACCGAAACCAAUGUCAGGUGGCGAUUCUGAGUUAUUUCCUUUUGAACACAAAUUUUGUCACGUUCUAAUUGGAAAACUCUUUUCAAGCUUUACUAAAUCUUUUUAUAUUGUUAAGAGGUCUUAGUGAAGUUUGUAAAAAAGAGGUGCGACAUCUUUGAUGACUCUGCUGGGGAGUUGUAGGUUCGAGCUAGUACUUGAUCUUGUUGGCUUUUUAGGAUGUUCGAUUGAGGUUUUUAUGUGUUUUGUUUGUUUUAUUUGAUUUUUAUUUUUGUUUAUGUCAUUUUAUUAUUUGCUAGGUUCUUAUAUGUUUACAAUUUUUCCUUUAUGUGUUACCGGUUUAUAAAUUGUCAUCAUUUGCAUAACCCCGGGUCUUCUUUAUGUAACAAGUCUUCCGGAGUAAGUUUGAGCGUACACGGCCUUUUUUGUGUGUCACCCGUGUCUUUAGGAGGUGAUGUAGGAGCGUGGAGUGGGCGGACAGCUAGAGCAGCCGCCAUCGACCACGUGCCGCCCUGAAUUGCCUUGUCUAGUGAACCCCAACCGUUGGUCAGCCUUUAGGUCAUACUUAUGUGUAUCAUAUCAUUUAAACUUAGCAGGGUUCGGUCCCAGCAUCGUGUCCCGUUGUAGGAGGCCUAUCCAAAUUAUGUCAAAAUGGGCUUAUGGUCCACAAAGACAUUUAAUCAUACAUAUGUGCUACAUGUUGCAUCUCUUUAGGGGUGAAAGCGUCAUCUGGAGGACCAAGGAUAUUUGAGGGUGAAAUAUAAAAUGAAGCAAGUAGGGACUAGUUAUAUUUUCUUUCACAACAUUUUCAAGAAAGGACCAAAAAAAAUUGAAAAUGAAAAAAUCCAAAAAGAUUUUGCACUUUCCCAUCAUUUUCCAAAAUAAAAUAGUUGUGUGUCGCUUGUGAUUUAUUUGUAUUUGUCUGUGCAUGUUUAUUCUAUUUUUAUUACUGAAAAAUACAAAAUAUAUGUGUUGCAUUUGCAUUUACAAUUUAGGAUUAAUUAACCAGUGAUUUGAUUUAUGAAAAUGAAAAUCAUAAAAAAUAAUGUACUUUGCAUUUUUAGCAUUUAAUGUUGAAUUGUGUGAUUUUAUUGUUAAUUGACAUUUAAUUGUAUGUGAUAAAUGUUAUUAAAAGAUAAUUAGUAUUUUUAGUAAGUUAACUUGGUUUAUAAUUUUAGAAAAUAGUUUAGAAAUCAAAAAUGAAUGAAAAAAACAAAAGAAAUAGGAAGGAAAAUCGGAUUGGGCUCAAAUCCCUGGCCCAAUGGCGUGUCCCAAACCCGGUCCAGGCAGCUCCUCUCAUAGGAUGGUGAAACGACGUAGUAUAGGAACCAAACUACGUCGUUUCAAUGGCAAAAAAUCUCAGCCAUUCAACCAAGCCGCAUCCAACGGUCACAUAUCAAUGCCCAUAUUCAAGAACCGAACCCGACCCGUUUACCCCGAGCCAAACCCGCCUCAGUACUUAACCAAAACGACCUCAUUUGACCCCCUAACCUAAUCUGGACCGUCGAUCGUGCUUGAUCCAACGACCAAGAUUAAACCACCCCCUCCCUAUAUAACCUUAAUCUCUACCCAGCCCCCCCAAACCAGACCCCCCCUGUUCAUCGUCUCUCUCAGAGACGACGACCCCCCCCAAACCCUAGCCGCCACCAAAUCCCUUCGCCGUAAACCCGGCGGCAACAACGCUGAUGACCAGGAAACUAACACCCCUAGAGCACCUAACCACCCUCAACAUAGAUCCCUACCCCUUUAACCUCAAAUCAUCCCGGUCUGUCUCGAAUCUUCAAUCGAAGAUUCGAGCAAAACCCUAAACCUUCCCAACCAGUCCCAAGUUCACACCCCAGCUCCACCUGAUCUCCCUCGUUCCCAAACCACCCCUACUUUGGCUCGAGUCUUGCUAGAACUGGUCGAAGUUUAAAUCGAUUGAAAAACCCUAGAAGGACCAAACCUGGAGUCGAUCCGAGGGGAAAAAGAAAUUGGGGUUUUAAUCAACUUUAGUCGAUUGUUCUCAGUCGAGAACACUCGAUUAAAGUUCGUUUUUACCUCAAAAGGUUCAAGUCGAAGGUCAAACUGAUUGGAGUUCGAUCUAUAUAUUUUGAGGUAUUUCCUUUCCAUUUCUUUUUUUCAUUUUUUUGUUUGUUGUUUAUCUGUUUAAAGUUUCAUUGUAGCCCGGCUUUGUCAAUGAUUUUCCUCCUCCUCUCUUCGGACUUUUUUCUUGGUCCAAAUUUUUUGUUGUUGAUUAUAUGUUAUAACUGUUUAAUCAAUCGAAUAAGUUUCUUCGAUUAGUCUGGUAGGUUUGAGUGUUAGUUUAACACGAUAGUAGUUUAAUUUUGGUUUUGAUUUCAUAGCUCAUUCCUGUCUGUUUCCCCUCUUGCUUCGUUUGUGUUCUAAAUUUUGUGUUAAAAUGAUCUCGUUGGUAUAUUUGAACUUAGAACUGAGCCUGUUGGUAUAUUCAGUUCAUUGAAAUGAAUUUAUUGGUCAUUUGUUAUCCUGAAUUUGUCAAUCACCUUAAGGCUCUUCUGGCUGUUUCUUCUUUUGUAUUCCAAUCUGAUUAAGGCUUAUGCUCGUCUAGUUGAUUUCAGUUCAUCUGUUGCUGAGCUAAAUAUAAUUGGUUCCCCAAUAUAGUUAGUUCAAUAUAUGCUGCCCUGACCCUUAGUCUUCAUUUUGGUGCCAUUUGAUUUGAUAUCUUGAAUUACUAACUGAUUUGAAUUGGUUAUAGCUAUUGUAGUUUGUUGGAUUCAGCUUAGUUAGUUGGUAGGUUUGAAUAGGUUAGAGUUGAAAGGUUCAAUGCACAGUGAAAGGGAUUGGGUAGGACAGUAAUUUCAGGGACUUUAGGAGGGUAUUUUGGGGUUUAAAAAGUUUGAAAAUGGCUUAAGAUGAAUGGGCUGACAGUAGGGUACUAAAAUACCAUUAAACUAAUGCAAUUAUUUAGUGUUAAUGGGGAACAAAACAUAAUGGUAUGAAAGGCUUAAAAGGGGAUUGAUUAAAAUAUGUUGCUCAUACAUGUUUGAACAAUUAAAUAAAGGGAAGGACAAGGGAUAAUGGGCAGAAACAUACUCUAGAGAGGAACAAGUGAAUUAAAACAAAACAUGUAGUAGUGGGCAGAAAAUACUUUCUUAAUUAGCUAAGUGCUCCUUAGAGCUGGAAAGGGGCUGAGGUUUGGGUAUAAAUAGGGGUCUGGACAGAAUUAAAAGGGAUUUCUCUUUGAGUCUGGUCUGGCUUUUCUUUUGGGGGCAGACCUGAGAAGAGAAAAAAAAAAGUCUCUGAGAGCACUGUUUGAGAGCAUCUUGAGGUCAGUCUUUGAACAAUAUUCUAAGGAGUUCAGAGAGUUUUUGAGAGUUCUUUUGAAAGGCGGUCAGUUUUGGAACAAAGUUCGAAAGCUUAAAGUCAAUUUCUGAGAAUUUAAAAGAUCAGUUUUUUGUAGUAGAAUCUUGGCUUAAUUCAAGUUUGGUUGAGUUGAUUUGGGUGCUGAUUGUUGUUGUGGGGUCUUAUAAAUCUGUUCGUGCGUUGGUUUGGUUGUGUUUCUAAUUCAGAACUGGACUGUCGUGGUAUUGCUGUUGUAACAGUUAUUGUAUUGCUGUUGCUGACCAUUCCCUUCUCUAUUUCAAUUCAGAUUCCAGGUACACGGCUGUAACCUUGCCAAUUUGUACGCUGAAAAACAUGAAGCAUGAAUAUUCAUGAAGAUUUGAAGCUUAAGUUUGAUUUAGCUUUUCUAUUGAUUUGUACAUUAAGAUACUUCAGUCACUAAUAUCAUAUAAAUGUCUGUUGAAUGUGUAACUGGACUGAUGCGAACUAUUGGACUAUUUUUUUAGCUGAGAACUGUUAAACGAAUUAGAUGCA